UCUUUGAGGCAAAGAAUUUUUUAAGUGUUGUGCAGUGUUGUCAUGCCUGGUUGGAUUAUGUUAUAUCAAACCUUCUAAGCAAUGCUACGUAACACUUCUCAUGCUGUGUUGCAGGUGAGAUGGGAUGGCACAGUGGAAGAGGAAGUGGAGCAGGUCCAUUAUGCUAUUGACGCCAUUAUUGUAACUGUAUGGAUACAAGGGGUCUAAAUAGAAACCAAACGCUAAAAACUAAAAGUAUUUAUUUGUCAUCAGAGUGACAGGUUUGGUGUGAGGGAUAAAGCACAUCCUUUAAAUGAAAGAUAGGCAGCUGAUAUUGUAUACAACACAAUAUGCAUGCACAUUGUAGGAAGGGGUCCCAGAUUCCUGGGUUAAUUCAGUACACGUGUUUUCUCUUAAACCAUCCAGUUUGUGAUCUAUGAUGUGUAUGUAGUAUUGUUAUGUAAUGGAGACUGAACAGUAGUUGUAAUAUUUUCUUUACAGGUGAACAGCCUUCUCUCCAGGGCAUCUCUCGUCACAAAAUACAUGACAAAGGCAGGUUGGUGUUAAAUACAUGACAAAGGCAGGUUGGUGUUAAACUUACACUAAAAACUGUGAUAAGGCAGCCCUGAAUAGUGUUUUUACAGAGAAUUUGGAAAGCUUUUUUUUCUGUCCCUCCUUACGAAAGUUAUCGCAGUAUUACUUUACUGUAAUUUCCAGUUCAACAAACCUUUAAAGGUUGGGUUAAAGGUUUAGUUAUGUCUAUCAGAUUUCUCUCUCACUAUUGCCUUUUUUAUGUGAACACCUACUUUUGUCUUGUGGAUGCAUUUUUGUUUUAAUUAGGAAUAGUGAACAUGCUCACUCAACAGGCCAUGGGUUUGAACGGACAAAAGAGGGACAACCUUCAUCAAGUGUUGUCAAAGUUUUUUAGACUUACUGACCACUUAAAGUGCUUUACACUCUAUGCCAAAGUCAUCCUUCCAGUUAGUGGAUGACCUGUCAAGGUAAGGGCAAAUUAUCGUUGUCUUCUCAUCUGGCACUGCAUAUUUAUGACAAAUGCCUGCACUUUUAAAGGACUGUAACCUCACAACUAUAUAGAUAUUUUGUCUCUUUUCCACACCACCUCCUGGGAGUUAAAUUUGCAGAUAGCAACUUGGCAAGACAAAGCUAGAGAAAGAAAAUGACAUAGCUGAAGAAGCAGCUUCGUAAAAAGGUCUUGCAAUACAACCCCAUAGUGGAAGAAGAUCAGAUUGAUGAAGAGUCGGCUUGCAGCGUGACAGAGCUACAUCCUACCCUGGAAGAGACAUGAAGAUGAUUUUGGUGACCUGACGGAGGAUGAUACACAGUGGCUCGACAAUGUGCUCAGUUGGAGGCGGCACUCACUGAAAAGUCAACACCAAAAGGCUGUAAAUGUGUACAGUGGUAUAGCUGCUAUGGAAUCUGAUUUACUUCACAUGCAGGAGGACAUUGAGGAGUGGGAUAGAAUGGCUUCACAAGCCACGAGUCAGAGGAAGAAGACGUGUAAAGGCCACUGCCAAACAACACAGAGGAACUGGAGAGUUCAUUUCUGCUUUAGACAUGGCUGAAGGGCAGCCCUAAUGGAAACCAGUGUUUGGGGAAAUCCCUUCUGAAACUAACUAGUUACUCUACUUUGUAACUUGCCCUUAAUAAUAAUUGGUUACUUUACUUAGUUAGUCUUUAUUAAAAGAAAACCAUCCCUCUUAAAAUUGUGCCCUUCAAAUGUGACUACACUAAUUUCAUCACUAUUAUUGUAGUAAAUCAUCGCUAAGUAACAUUCUGCUGUUAUGUAAAGAAAACAUCAAAAUGUUUUCAUUUACCUUGUUCGACAGUAAAUAGUCAUAUCACAGGUGAAGUCUUAACUGAACCUGCCUCCUGGAAACUGCAGAUUCACUUCCAAAGUGCUUUCAAUUCCAAUCGUAGGUUAGAUAGUGAAAGCUUCACUUGUGGUGCCGCUGCUCUGUAGGCGACCAGGACAACUGUGCUCCUGCAUAGACAUUUCUGGCUAUAGUUUGGAAGCUGCAGUUUGUACAGUAGUGUGCUGACCAUUAUCUCCAUUUUCCAGUGUCAACACUAAGAAAACAAAAAAAAAAUAUUUUUGAUUCAGGACAUCUGGGGGAUCGGUUCUUGCGCAGACUCGGGGCGUUUGGGGUUGGACACGGGGUAAUGAUGUUAUUUUAUCACACUGUGAUAGACAGUAUAUUACGUUAAGGAAUUUCAGCUUGGUUAGGUGACUUGUCAUGAAGUUAAAAUCACAAAUAAACAGAGUGUUCCACACAGCAAUGAAAGUGGUGGGGGUUAGGGAGCAUCUCUCCCUCCAAAUGCUCUUUGAGAAGACUAUAGUUGAACAGGCUAGGAAAUUUAGAGCUGACCCCUUCCGUGUCCUGUAUUCCGAAUUGGAAAUGCUCCCAUCAGGUAGGACGCUACAUGGUUCCACUUAAAUACAGGAAAAGAUACUCGAAUAGGUAUAAAAACUCUUAUCUCUCUAUCAGUGAAUCUCCUAAACUCAGGACCUAAGGUGGGUGAGAAAUGAGGGGCUGUGUUGCAUGUAUUUGAACGCACUUAUGUGUGCACUUGUCUGUGCUGUGCACUUUAUGUCUGUUACUGCACUAUAUUGUACAGUAUGUACACAUUUUAAUGUGGUAGCCUUUAUGUCCGAGACAAAUUUCCUUAGUGGACAAAUAAAGUAACCUUCAAUCUUAACUUGCAGUUAACAACAAUGUUGUGACUCUGCUCUUCCAUCGGUUCACAGUAAUGUCAAUAAAUGUCUUUAUCUUUGACUUAUGUAUAGCACUUUGACUUGCUGAUCUGUAUGAAAUAAACUUGCCUUUAUAUUAAAUAGGCCUUUAUUACUCAAA